GUUGCACAUCUCUUUUCGGCCAUCAAGGAGAAUGGAUAUCAUUUGCUUUUCCUAAGUGCACGUGCUAUUUCACAGGCCUAUCUUACCAGACAAUUCCUCUUUAAUCUUAUGCAGAAUGGUGUGGGAUUACCAGAAGGACCAGUUCUUACAUCACCUGAUGGAAUUUUCCCUUCUCUAUUUCGAGAAGUGGUUAGAAGAGCUCCUCAUGAAUUCAAAAUUGCUUGCUUAGAGGAUAUAAAAGCACUGUUCCCUUCUGAUAGGAAUCCCUUUCCCUUCUAUGCUGGUUUUGGAAACAGACACACGG
rnacentral:misc_RNA from 1 species